UGAGGAAUAUUGGUCAAUGGGCGAGAGCCUGAACCAGCCAAGUCGCGUGAAGGACUACGGCCCUAUGGGUCUUAAACUUCUUUUGUAUAGGGGUAAAGAUAUGUACGUGUACAUAAUUGCAAGUACUAUACGAAUAAGGAUCGGCUAACUCCGUGCCAGCAGCCGCGGUAAUACGGAGGAUCCGAGCGUUAUCCGGAUUUAUUGGGUUUAAAGGGUGCGUAGGCUGUUUGUCAAGUCAGAGGUGAAAGGCCGCAGCUCAACUGUGGAAUUGCCUUUGAUACUGGCAGGCUUGAAUACUGUUGCCGUGGGAGGAAUGAGUAGUGUAGCGGUGAAAUGCAUAGAUAUUACUCAGAACACCGAUUGCGAAGGCAUCUCACGAAGCAGACAUUGACGCUGAGGCACG
rnacentral:rRNA from 1 species